CUGAUCUUGCACCCAGGAGAGAAGAGAAUUGAGAGAAGAGUCAUAAAGAUUACUUGGAUGUGGAUUUUGUUUUAUGAGGUGAUAGAAGAAUUACGAAUUAAUGAAAUCUCAGCAAGUGUCAAGUUCUACUGCAUUUAAAAUUGCAAGGGAAGAAUAUCAUACAGAUUAUGACAUUUGCUUGAAUUGGUAUUGUAUUCAUUUGCUCUACUUGCAGAUUACUUGGAUGUGGAUUUUGUUUUAUGAGGUGAUAGAAGAAUUAUGAAUUAAUGAAAUCUCGAUCAGCUAGUGUCAAGUUCUGCUGCAUUUAAAAUUGCAAGGGAAGAAUAAAAAACCUCAUUGGUGUU